GUUCCUCGAGGAUGCUUUCAUCAGUGGAGGGUGCCGUAGUACUCUGCUCCUUCGAUCUCCAUGAGAAUCUAUGCACGAAAAGCAGAGAGAGGAGUAUAGGAGUCAUACCUGCUGUAGUUGGGCUUCGAACUCCGUCGUUGGGGUGAAGCUCGCUUAUUGGAAGGUGGCCGACUUGAUUCGACCGGAGCUUCACUCUUCUUCUAUUUUUUCUUCUGAUCUUUACCUUCUGUCUGACGUCAGUCAAAAGUAGUCUCAUCUGCACAUAUGUACUUGUAUGUGCAUUCGAGAAGUUCAGCAUAGGUCUGAGGG
rnacentral:lncRNA from 1 species